rnacentral:rRNA from 1 species
UACAGAGGGGGCAAGCGUUGUUCGGAAUUACUGGGCGUAAAGGGCGCGUAGGCGGUGUGACAAGUCACUUGUGAAAUCUCUGGGCUUAACCCAGAACGGCCAAGUGAAACUGUUGUGCUAGAGUGCAGAAGGGGCAAUCGGAAUUCUCGGUGUAGCGGUGAAAUGCGUAGAUAUCGAGAGGAACACCAGAGGUGAAGACGGGUUGCUGGGCUGACACUGACGCUGAGGCGCGAAAGCCAGGGGAGCAAACGGG